rnacentral:misc_RNA from 1 species
GUUGUUCUUAUUUAAUGUCAUUUCCAUACUGCUUUCUGGAUUUGUAAUGUAAUCCCAUGGUUGUCUUGUCCAUGUUGAUGUUUGAAACCUGCACAAUGCUUUUGUUUUGUUGAUUGACCAUAAAUUCUGUGAAGAUUUAUCUUCUUCAGAGACCAAUAUUGUUCAAGAGUCAGAUAGAGUUGCAUAUUUUGGAACCAUGGUUUUAAAUUGCAGUCUUGAUUGCUAGGGGUGAGCAAAUUUCGG